AAGGUCUGACCUGCUCAAUGAAANNUUUUAAAUGGCCGCGGUAUUUUGACCGUGCAAAGGUAGCAUAAUCAUUAGUUUUUUAAUUGAAAGCUGGUAUGAAAGGUCGAAUGAGAAAAAAUCUGUCUCUUGAAAAUUUUAUUAGAAUUUUAUUUUUAAGUAAAAAAGCUUAAAUAAUAUUUAAAGACGAGAAGACCCUUUAGAGUUUUAUAUAAAUUAGUAAUUUAAAAUUUUAGAAUUAAUUAUUUAGGUUAAAAAUUUAUAUUUAAUUGGGGUGAUUGAAAAAUUUAAUUAACUUUUUCUUAUAAAACCAUUGAUUUAUGAAUAGUUGAUCCGUUUUUAACGAUUAUAAGAAUAAAUUACCUAAGGGAUAACAGCGUUAUUUUUCUUGAGAGUUCAAAUCGAAAGAAAAGAUUGCGACCUCGAUGUUGGAUUAAAAUUAAAUUAUGGUGCAGUAGUCAUAAAUUUAAGUCUGUUCGACUUUUAAAAUUUUACAUG
rnacentral:rRNA from 1 species